GACAGAGGGUGCAAACGUUGUUCGGAAUUACUGGGCGUAAAGCGCGUGUAGGCUGCUCGGAAAGUCGGAUGUGAAAGCCCUGGGCUCAACCUAGGAAGUGCAUUCGAAACUUCCGAGCUGGAGUACUGGAGAGGAAGGCGGAAUUCUCGGUGUAGAGGUGAAAUUCGUAGAUAUCGGGAGGAACACCAGUGGCGAAGGCGGCGAUCUGGGAAGAUACUGACGCUGAGGUGCGAAAGCGUGGGGAGCGAACAGG
rnacentral:rRNA from 1 species